rnacentral:piRNA from 1 species
UCCAUCCAAACUAGUAAAUUU